UGGUAAAACAAAACAUAUAUAUAUUUGUAAAAAUAUUGAAAAUGAAUUUGAGAAAAUUAAUUAAAUUUUUGAAAUAAUGACAAAAGUUUUGAUGGCGUUUAAAAGAUACCAUCAGAAAUAAAUGAAAAAAAAAAAUUUAUCAACCUCAACUCAUAUGGGACUACCCCCUGAAUUUAAGCAUAUUAAUGAGGGGAGGAAAAGAAACUAACAAGGAUUUUCUUAGUAGCGGCGAGCGAAAAGAAAUCAGUUCAGCACUAAGUCACUUUGUCAUAUGGCAAAUGUGAGAUGCAGUGUAUGGAAUGUCUAUAUGCUAGUAUGAUAAUUUAAAACGAUUUAAGUCCUUCUUAAAUGAGGCCAUUUACCCAUAGAGGGUGCCAGGCCCUAUAACGUUAAUGAUUACUAGAAGAUAUUUCCAAAGAGUCGUGUUGCUUGAUAGUGCAGCACUAAGUGGGUGGUAAACUCCAUCUAAAACUAAAUAUAACCAUGAGACCGAUAGUAAACAAGUACCGUGAGGGAAAGUUGUGAAAAGAACUCUGAAUAGAGAGUUAAAAUAGUACGUGAAACUGCUUAGAGGUUAAGCCCGAUGAACCUGAAUAUCCAUUAUGGAAAAUUCAACAUUAUAAUUGUAAAUAUUUAAAACAUUUACGAUAAUGGUGUGCUAUUUUUCCAUAUAAGGACAUUGUAAUCUAUUAACAUAAUAUAUAUUUAUCAAAAGAUCAUUUACCGUUAAGUUUAUACAAAUUAUUAUGCUUGCAUUUUAACAUUGUAUAAAUGGUUGAAUGAUUUGAUAAAGUGUUGAUAGAUUUAUUAUAUAUAGUGUUUAAAUUAUAUUUAUAUAAUUUUACAAUGGUAUGUUAAUCAAUGAUUUUCAUACUUUAAUUGUAUAUCACUUAUAUGAUUAACAAUGCGAAAGAUUCAGGAUACCUUCGGGACCCGUCUUGAAACACGGACCAAGGAGUCUAACAUAUGUGCAAGUAAUUGGGAAUUAAAAAACCUAAUUGCGUAAUAAACAUAACUUUUUAUAAUGGGAUUAAUUUUUAUAAAAUUUAUUUUUAUAAUACAAUCCGGGCGUUCUAUAUAGUUAAAUAUACAAUCCCGGGGCGUUCUAUAUAGUUAUGUUAUAAUGAUAUUUAUAUUAUUUAUACCUCUAACUGGAGCGUACCUUGAGCAUAUAUGCUGUGACCCGAAAGAUGGUGAACUAUACUUAUCAGGUUGAAGUCAGGGGAAACCCUGAUGGAAGACCGAAACAGUUCUGACGUGCAAAUCGAUUGUCAGAAUUGAGUAUGGGCGAAAGAACCAAUCGAACCAUCUAGUAGCUGGUUCCCUCCGAAGUUUCCCUCAGGAUAGCUGGGCAUUUAAAUAUUAAAUAAAAUAAUCUUAUCUGGUAAAGCGAAUGAUUAGAGGCCUAGGUCGAAACGACUUUUAACCUAUUCUCGGUCGAAACGACUUUUAACCUAUUCUCAAACUUUAAAUGGGAAGACCUCACCUCUUACUUGAUAGAAGGUUUGUGGUUAGAUAUAAUGUGCCCAGUGGGCCACUUUUGGUAAGCAGAACUGGCGCUGUGGGAUGAACCAAACGAAUGUUACGGUGCCCAAAUUAACAACUCAUGCAGAUACCAUUGAAAGGCGUUGGUUGUUAAAACAGCAAAAGGCGUUGGUUGCUUAAAACAGCAGGACGGUGGCAUGGAAGUCUAAUCCGCUAAGGAGUGUGUAACAACUCACCUGCCGAAGCAACUAGCCCUUAAAAUGGAUGGCGCUUAAGUUGUAUACCUAUACAUUACCGCUAAAGUAAAUAGAUUUAUAUUCAAUUUCGGUUGUAAUUAUAAAACUUUAGUGAGUAGGAGGGUACAAUGGUGUGCACAGAAGUGUUUUGGCGUAAGCCUGAUGGAGCCGCCAUUGGUACAGAUCUUGUGGUAGUAGCAAAUAACGAAUGAGACUUGGAGGACUGAAGGUGGAGAAGGGUUUCGUGUGAACAGUGGUUGAUCACGAGUUAGUCGGUCCUAAGUUUAAGGCGAAAAGCCGAAAAAUUUUCAUGUUUAUUAUGAUAAUAAAAUAAUAUUAUUAUUGUAAAUUAACGAACAUGAUUAUUUUUGAACGAAAGGGAAUACGGUUCCAAUUCCGUAACCUGUUGAGUAUCCGUUUGUUAUUAAAUAUGGGCCUUGUGCUCAUCCUGGCAACAGGAACGACCAUAAAGAAGCCGUCGAGAGGUAUCGGAAGAGUUUUCUUUUCUGUUUUAUAGUCGUACUACCAUGGAAGUCUUUCGAAGAGAGAUAUGGUAGAUGGGCUAGAAGAGCAUGACAUUUACUGUUGUGUCGAUAUUUUCUCCUCGGACCUUGAAAAUUUAUGGUGGGGUCACGCAAACUUUUCAACAGGCCGUACCGAUAUCCGCCAGCUGGUCUCCAAGGUGAAGAGUCUCUAUAGUCGAUAGAAUAAUGUAGGUAAGAAGUCGGCAAAUUAGAUCCGUAACUUCGGGAUAAGGAUUGGCUCUGAAGGUUGAGAUA
rnacentral:rRNA from 1 species